rnacentral:rRNA from 1 species
CCUACGGGGGGCAGCAGUGGGGGAUAUUGCACAAUGGGGGAAACCCUGAUGCAGCGACGCCGCGUGUGGGAAGACGGUCCUCUGGAUUGUAAACCACUGUCCCCAGGGACGAAGAUGACGGUACCUGGGGAGGAAGCUCCGGCUAACUACGUGCCAGCAGCCGCGGUAAUACGUAGGGGGCAAGCGUUAUCCGGAUUUACUGGGUGUAAAGGGGGCGCAGACGGCAGCGCAAGCCAGGAGUGAAAGCCCGGGGCCCAACCCCGGGACUGCUCUUGGAACUGCGCGGCUGGAGUGCAGGAGGGGCG